GUGAAUCAUCAAAUCUUUGAACGCAAAUUGCACUCUCCGGUUUUCCGGGAGAGUAUGCCUGUUUGAGGGUCAGCCUAAAAAAAAUCGACAUUGUUGCUGUUAUUUAAUGGUGACUUUCGUCGGAGAUUGGGUUAUCUUAAACCUUUUUUUUUUUUUUUUGUUUUAACGGAUUAAAAUUUUUCUUUACGAUUCCAUUAAAGUUUUCUAGAUUUUUUUUUUUUUUAACUUUAAAG
rnacentral:misc_RNA from 1 species